CUGACACAGGUGCUGCAUGGCUGUCGUCAGCUCGUGUCGUGAGAUGUUGGGUUAAGUCCCGCAACGGAGCGCAACCCCUAUUGCCAGUUGCUAACAGGAGAGCUGAGCACUCUGGCGAGACUGCCGCGACAAGGCGGAGGAAGUGGGGAUGACGUCAAGUCAUCAUGGCCUUUAUGCCCAGGGCUACACACGUGCUACAAUGGUCGGUACAAAGGGUUGCCAAGCCGCGAGGUGGAGCUAAUCCCAUAAAACCGAUCGUAGUCCGGAUCGCAGUCUGCAACUCGACUGCGUGAAGUCGGAAUCGCUAGUAAUCGUGAAUCAGAAUGUCACGGUGAAUACGUUCCCGGGCCUU
rnacentral:rRNA from 1 species